rnacentral:rRNA from 1 species
CUAGUUGGUGAGGUAAAAGCCCACCAAGGCAUAGAUCGGUAGCCGGCCUGAGAGGGCACACGGCCACACUGGCACUGAAACACGGGCCAGACUCCUACGGGAGGCAGCAGUGGGGAAUCUUGCACAAUGGGGGAAACCCUGAUGCAGCGACGCCGCGUGAGCGAUGAAGCCCUUCGGGGUGUAAAGCUCUUUCGUCAGGGAAGAUAGUGACGGUACCUGGAGAAGCAGCUGCGGCUAACUACGUGCCAGCAGCCGCGGUAAUACGUAGGCAGCAAGCGUUGUUCGGAGUUACUGGGCGUAAAGGGUGUGUAGGCGGUUCUUUAAGUUUGCUGUGAAAUCUCCCGGCUUAACCGGGAGGGUGCGGUGAAUACUGAGGGACUAGAGUACGGGAGAGGAAAGUGGAAUUCCUGGUGUAGCGGUGAAAUGCGUAGAUAUCAGGAGGAACACCGGUGGUGUAGACGGCUUUCUGGACCGUAACUGACGCUGAGACACGAAAGCGUGGGUAGCAAACAGGAUUAGAUACCCUGGUAGUCCACGCCCUAAACGAUGCAUAUUUGGUGUGGGCAGUUCAUUCUGUCUGUGCCGGAGCUAACGCGUUAAAUAUGCCGCCUGGGGAGUACAGUCGCAAGGCUGAAACUCAAAGGAAUUGACG